CUUUUCUGUGGCUGUGGAUAUGUAGUCUGGCUCUCUUGUGAGGCUGGGAAGUGACAGGCGGCCACAGUUCCCAGUGGACCAUGUGAUGGGGACAGGCAACAAUGAGACCCUACAGGGUACUGAACUGCUAAGCCGUGAUUAUGGGGAGGCUGGGUCUAUGAGCUGCAUCUUCAAUGGUGCUCUUAAUGUACAAUAAACUUACCAGAACCUAGACCCAUCAUCAGCCAGGAAGCAUCUAUGUAUUCAAAAGAAUGCACCUUCUUCCCAAGGCUGCCUCUCUCUCUCUGACUGCUCAAGGAUACCUAGGUCUGUGUGCCCAUCUUUGGUACCUCUGCUUAGAGAACUGGAGUGAAGACCUUACUGAGAGUCACUCGUGGUCGGAGGAGGAAGUGGGCCCUGUACCAACCAGUGUAUAACACAGCCGUGGGAACCUUGCAGAUGGCUCUGAAGACGGCAGAGGAUGACAGAGGCUUUCUCUCAGCUACUCCCAGGGCUAUUGUUCAAGAUGGUCCAGGGCCUUCUGUGGCCAUUCUUCCAGUGCUGAGCUCGCUAGGGCUCCUGCUCAACCUCUUCAGACUGCAUUAGAGCUUUGGUCCCUUUUCAUCCCUCAUUCUGAAGUGGGGCUGCAUGAGGUGAGGUGGUGGGAGGGGAGGGGGGGCUGUCCAGCACUUGACAGCUGCCUUUUCUCUUUAUGCUCUAGAAACACCGAAUGCUUCUAGAAGCAAGAAGUGCAUUUCUGGACAGUGACAGGAUAAUCAAGAAGAGACCAGGAUAGAAGAUGCUGUCUUAAAGCGAUGGCCCGAGAAAUGGUGGUCAGGGAAGUAUCCUCAGGAGCUGUCAAAGCACAAGGAGGGAUCCCUGGAUGAAGCCCAGAGCUGGAGCUCGUGGAGCUAUUAGUGAGGACUACGCCCUCCUGAGGACCCAGUGCUCAGCCAGAGUAGACUAAAGCACGGCAAGUGGAACCCCAGUGGCUUCACAUUGCACAUUCACAGCACUGGUUCAUGAAGGACAGGUAAGAUGACCUCUGCCGGCCUUGUGACUUCCCAAGACUCUAGUUGGCAUCUCUCCCUCCCGAAGCCAGGCUGAAUGAAGACCCAGUUGGAAUGCAGGCGGCUUCUCACCAUGGCAGGAAAAUUGCAGGGUCAGUGUGUGGGCAGCCACAGUGACCAUCUCACGGCAGGACGGAAGCAGCUUUGCUGACUGAGAGUCUGCGGCCUGAACAUCCCAGCCGUGCAGGUCUGAGGAUGGAGGCUGAAGGUAAAGAAGGCAGGGAGACGUCCAGGAACCAGUUCCAAGAGCAAAUGGCCUGGGAGAGGCUUGUGGAUUCACUCCAAAAAUAAGUCAGUCACUUAUUUUUGCCAUGCCAUAGCUGAUCCAGCCCUGUCCUCCUAAGAGACACGUGCUAAAGGCUGGAUCCCCAGAGAGGUGCUGGUGAGAAACAGUAUACCUUUAGGGAUGGGUUCUGUGGGAUGUCUUUAAAUCCUGAGGGAGUGUGGGACCCCGGCAACCUCCUGAUUCACCCAGUCUUCUGUUUUGCACCUCGAGUGUGGGGAGAUGGAUGCUGUCUCUCUGCCACAGGUCCACAGUCUUCAGGGCGGUAAUGGAUCAAGGCCUCUAAGACUGAGCCAAGGGCAAACACUUCAAGUGCUUUGUUCUAGAGAGAAAGGCUGACUACUAACACAGCUUCAGCCCCCAGCCCCCUCCUGCCCUGUUGCAAGCCUAUGCUUUGCUCCCCUUUGAGGACUUAACACCCCUAUCCUAGGGGCUCUUUCUCUGCUCUACCCAACCAACCCUCGUCUUUCAGCUUAAAGCCUCCUUCCUCAGGAGUCUCUCCAGCAGCCAUACUGGAUGCAAUUAGGCUUGUUAGUUGGGGGUUUGUGGUUUUUUUUCUGGUAUUGGGAAUUGAACUCAUGUAUGUUCUACCACUGAGAUACAUCCGCAGCCCUGGAUUUUAGAACUGAGACAAAUUCAUACUGUCUGCCUCUCUCCCUAGGCUGCAAGCCUGGUGGAGGUGGUGUCUAUCUCUUUUCCUCAUGACUGUACCACUACAAACCUUCACAGAGCCUGCCACAGAGUCUAUGCCCAAUAAAUCCUUAUGAAAUGA